CUCGCCGCCGCCUUCCUGGUAGCGCACGCAGGCGUCCACGACGCGGCGGGCCGCCCGCAGUCCUGAGGAACCUCGCCGAUCACAAUGACCUUUCCAAGAUAAUCGAGAGUGGCUUUGCAAGGAUGUUGAUGAGUUCCCUCAGCACUUGUGGGUGCAUCCUGUCAGGACCGAUGGACUUCUGUCUGUCCAGUUUGUUCCCUAACCUGAUCCUCCUUCAUGAAGGGACAGCAAUUUGCCCUGAAAAUUCUGUGAGAACAGGUGCAGAGUAAUUCACAGAGAGAGAGAGAGACAGAAAAAACACCUCACAUGCAAGGCAGCAAAACUGGGUAGGCAUGAGUUCUACAGGAAACGAUCUGGGAACUAUUGGAUAUCACAGACCAAACGAAAACCAAAAAAUCUCCCACUACUGUGAAGCAAGCAUCAGACUGGAAUGAUUAAACGGGGCGACUACCUGCAGGACGGGAGGGUCACUAGAUAUAACCCUUCCACUCUAGUCAGCGCUGGUAAGCCCUCAGCAGGAGUGCUCUGCCCAGCUUUGGGCACUACAUCUCACUGAAGAGGUGGACAGUUGGAGAAAGUCCAGCAGAGAGCGACAAGCAUGGUCAAAGGGAUAGAAAGGAGCCUGUUACAACUUGGAGAAAGGAUGACUGAUCACACGAUAGCGAUCUUCAAAUGUAAGAGACUGCUGCAAACUGUUCUCAACACCCACUGUGGAUUUGACAAAAAAGGGCUUACACUGUAGCAGAAAAGGUUCAGCUAAUGCAUCAGGAAAACCUCUGUGAUCGUAAAGCUGGCAGGACUCUGCUGCCUAAAGCUGGAGGUCCUUAACGCUGGACCUGACAGCCAUC